rnacentral:rRNA from 1 species
GACGAACGCUGGCGGCGUGCUUAACACAUGCAAGUCGAACGGAAAGGCCCUGCUUGUGUGGGGUGCUCGAGUGGCGAACGGGAGAGUAACACGUGCGUAACCUGCCCUUGACUUUGGGAUAACUUCAGGAAACUGGGGCCAAUACCGGAUAGGAGCUCCUGCUGCAUGGUGGGGGUUGGAAAGUUUCGGCGGGUGGGGCUGGACUCGCGGCUUAUCAGCUUGUUGGUGGGGUAGUGGCAUACCAAGGCUUUGACGGGUAGCCGGCCCGAGAGGGUGACCGGCCACAUUGGGACUGAGGUAAGGCCCAGACUCCUUCGGGAGGCAGCAGUGGGGAAUAUUGCACAAUGGGCGGAAACCUUAUGCAGCAACGCCGCGUGCGGGAUGACGGCCUUCGGGUUGUAAACCGCUUUCGCCUAUGACGAAGCGUGAGGGACGGUAAUGGGUAAAGGAACAACGGCUAACUACGUG